rnacentral:rRNA from 1 species
CACGUAGGGGGCAAGCGUUGUCCGGAAUCAUUGGGCGUAAAGAGCUCGUAGGCGGCUCAGUAAGUCGGGUGUGAAACCUCCAGGCUCAACCUGGAGACGCCACCCGAUACUGCUGUGGCUAGAGUCCAGUAGGGGAGUGUGGAAUUCCCGGUGUAGCGGUGAAAUGCGCAGAUAUCGGGAGGAACAUCAGUGGCGAAGGCGGCUGCCUGGCCCAAUACUGACACUCAGGUGCGACAGCGUGGGGAGCAAACAGG